AAUUCUCAACCUUACUAGCUUUUGCGAAGUAAUGGCUUGGAUGUGGGGGUCUUUUGCUGGUUUUGAAAGAAAUCUGCUCCCCUUAAAUGCAUUAGCCGGUGCCCCGCGUGGACCCGUCUAUUGGUGUGAUAAUUAUCUACGCCGUUAGACGUCUGCUAUUAAAUGGGAUUGCGCUGCUUCUAAUCGUCCUCUUAGGACAAUUAUUGACC
rnacentral:misc_RNA from 1 species